UACGAAGGGGGCUAGCGUUGCUCGGAAUGACUGGGCGUAAAGGGCGCGUAGGCGGAUCGAGAAGUCGGGCGUGAAAUCCCCGGGCUCAACCCGGGGCGGUCGACCGAGACGCGCGGUCUGGAGUGGGGGAGAGGGUCGCGGAAUUCCCAGUGUAGAGGUGAAAUUCGUAGAUAUUGGGAAGAACACCGGUGGCGAAGGCGGCGUCCUGGCCCUUUACUGACGCUGAGGCGCGAAAGCGUGGGGAGCAAACAGG
rnacentral:rRNA from 1 species